UACGAAGGGUGCAAACGUUGCUCGGAAUUAUUGGGCGUAAAGCGCACGUAGGCGGCUUAGCAAGUCGGAAGUGAAAGCCCUCGGCUCAACCAAGGAAGUGCUUUCGAAACUGCUGAGCUUGAGUAGUUAAGAGGAUCGCGGAAUUCCCGGUGUAGAGGUGAAAUUCGUAGAUAUCGGGAGGAACACCAGUGGCGAAGGCGGCGAUCUGGGAACAUACUGACGCUGAGGUGCGAAAGCGUGGGGAGCGAACAGG
rnacentral:rRNA from 1 species